rnacentral:rRNA from 1 species
UACAGAGGGUGCAAGCGUUAAUCGGAAUUACUGGGCGUAAAGCGUGCGUAGGCGGUUCCUCAAGUCCGUUGUGAAAGCCCCGGGCUCAACCUGGGAAUGGCAGUGGAAACUAGGGGACUGGAAUCUGGCAGAGGGGGGUGGAAUGCCGCGUGUAGCAGUGAAAUGCGUAGAGAUGCGGCGGAACACCGAUGGCGAAGGCAGCCCCCUGGGCUGAGAUUGACGCUCAGGCACGAAAGCGUGGGGAGCAAACAGG